UGGGGAAUAUUGCACAAUGGGGGAAACCCUGAUGCAGCGACGCCGCGUGAGCGAAGAAGUAUUUCGGUAUGUAAAGCUCUAUCAGCAGGGAAGAUAAUGACGGUACCUGACUAAGAAGCCCCGGCUAACUACGUGCCAGCAGCCGCGGUAAUACGUAGGUGGCGAGCGUUGUCCGGAAUUACUGGGUGUAAAGGGAGUGUAGGCGGGAAUGCAAGUCAGAAGUGAAAACUAUGGGCUUAACCCAUAGCCUGCUUUUGAAACUGUAUUUCUUGAGUGAAGCAGAGGCAAGCGGAAUUCCUAGUGUAGCGGUGAAAUGCGUGGAUAUUAGGAGGAACACCAGUGGCGAAGGCGGCUUGCUGGGCUUUUUACUGACGCUGAGGCUCGAAAGCGUGGGGAGCAAACAGGAUUAGAUACCCUGGUAGU
rnacentral:rRNA from 1 species